CUGCUCUCAGAGAUAGAUGUGUCUGGAUAAACCUGACAGAAUUGGCAGGGGACAGCAUGGGACAAGGUAGGACAGGGUGAGAUGCUUGUCUGGGUACCUGUGGGAGAUUUCUGAGUUGUCCCAGGGGACUGUGGCAGUGAUGGCACUUAUCUUCAUCUGUGCUGUGUUUUAUUAAAUAAUGGUGAAGACCGUGAGAGCUGGAAAAGAGGAGAGGGGGUAAGGCCAAGUGAGAGGACGUGGGAACAAGGCGUAUGUUGGAAAAUGAAGAGACUGUGCAGGUGGCCAGGCAGAGAUGGAAAAGCUGUGCUCCAGACUCGGGGGAAUUGCAGCACGGUGUGUUUUCCCAUGGGAACUGGCAGUGGGUGCGUAUCUUUUCCCCACCCAUUUAAAAACUCUUGCUCUAGCCGGGUACCCUCCGACUGAGGGCCAAGGACCCGGGCACCGGUGCAGAGGAAGCUCUGACGAACACACACCGGCACCCGGCCGUGCUGACAGAUCUUCCACGCCGGUGGUAGCGUCUCCCUGAGUCAUCGGCAUGGAGUGUGCUUCAAGCAGCUCCGCAUAAACACCGCCUUCAGACAGUGAAGGGAAAUAUUUUAACUCACCCACAUCCCAUAAAUGCGACUACAGAUCUCUUGAUGGCAGCAACAGAACUGUCAUCACCCUCGAUAAAUAGACAGGGUGUCACUUGUUUUUCCCUUAUUUCUUCCCCAUAGCCAUCUUUUGUGUAGCAUGGGGGUGUGUCAGGUAAAUCUGUGCCUUUUGCCCCUCUCCGGGAAGUGUGUGUACGAGGUGGGGGAGGCAGUCUGCCCAUGCACAGACAUCUCCGUGGCUCCUCUUGACUUCUAAGGGAGAUUCACACAGGCAGGGGAGCGAUCGGGUCCCAGAUGCUCAAGAGAAAACGGCAGAGUAAUUCUCCACUGCUGCUUCCAUGUGCUUCAAAAAGACAUUAGAAAAGAGAGAAAUGCAUAACUGAAAGGUGCUGAAUAAUUUGGGGAAAUGGGGUCACGCCCACCCACCCAUUUGUAGAGCUUAGAGAUCUGUAUAAAGAUGCAAAUGAAUACAUCUGUUGUGUCAUUAAAUGCAACUGCAGCAACCUAGAUGAAAGGGAAAGGGAGUGAGGGAGAAGUGCUGACUGGUAACGGCACCACAAAGUUGUCUUCUGUGAUGAGGAUCUGCCGAGUGCAAAGCUCUAGGCUAGUACUCCGGGUCCCAGUUCAGCACCCAUUUAUUCUCUCUCCUUCCCUCCUGCUUCUCGUAGUCUCACGGUCUGGCAUCAACCAGAGUUCCCCGUGCGCUUCCUAUGAAGGCUGUGGGAGCCAAUGGAUGUGGAACCAGUGGUUUUAAUCCCCUCUUUCACCUCCCUGUGGAGCCUGGCUACCUCGGCUGGUGUUUUGCAGGGAGGGGAGAGGACAGGACAGAGGCACCUGCGGCUCUGACGGACAGCAGCUCUCCGCUGCUGGAAGCACCUCUGCCUCUGGGAAGGGACGGGGGACGAGGUCAAGUGACAACGCGUGUGCACAGGCUGCUGGCUAUCUAACAACAUAAACGAGGAAUGCCCCAGCUCCGACAAAAUGACUUUUAUGUACACGUGUUCUCUCUUGGGGCAAGUGGAGAAGGAAAAGCACAGAUCCAUCGAAAACCGGUAAAAAACCUGCACCCCUCAUUGACUUGAGACCUACCCUCCAGAGGCAACCAACAGCUUCCAGACCAGCAUUUCAUUCUUUGUCCUUCCUAACGAGAACAACAGGAGACUUUAACCUCAACCUGAGUAUAAUGUUUUCACAGUAGAAAAUGAUCAUCUCUACACUUCGGAAGCAUCGGUGUUGUUUCCUGUUGACUCCAUAAAAUCUCUAGCAUCUUUUCAAAUUGGAAUCCUUCCAUAAUAACUGCAUUUUGUAUUUCCAUAUGCUACAGAGAUGAGCAGAAUCAUUAUUAAAUCACUAAUUUAGUGAUGUCUGAAAGACCCCAAUAGUCACCCUCUGAAAGGUUUUACUAGUAAACGUAAGGAUCAGUCUCUGCCCUGAAGAAUUGAGUAACUGAAAAAACACAGUGGCAUCUUUAGUGCAGAGCAUCACCCUUACGCCUUUACUCACACUGUUUUCCUUAAAUAUUUGUAACUACACUGUUAAAAAUUCCAAGUAAUGUGACUAAUGCCUGCAGGUUCCGGCAAUGACAAUAAUAUCAAAUUUCUUCUCAUCAACGGGAAUUUCCAUUUCCAGCUUGCUUGUUCCCCUGAUGUCUAGGACUGCUGUAUAAGUAAUAGGAAAAUCUCUUUUCUUCACAACUUUAGCACAGCAGCUCAAUUUGUUUGCAGCACGCUGAGCUUGAGUUCGUAUUGCAUUUGCCUUCUUAGCACCUUCCCUUUGUGUCAUUAGUCAAGCGACCGCCUGGCUGCUCCAGCUUGUUUCUGACAGAACGGAGUAGCUUUGAGAUGGAGGCCAUUCUGCUCGUACGUGGUUGCAUAUAUAUAAAAAAGACUAAAGGCGGCAUUAUGAAACCUCCAGCAACUUGACUACGCGCUGCAGCCACUUAUUUUCCACUGACACCAGAACACUCUUUUUUCCUACUCACCAGCUGGUGAGAGGUGUCAAGCGACAAUGCGAGCAGAUCGCGGGAGAAAUCGCUGCCUUCGAACACCAGACUUCAUUAGCAUGAGGACAACUGCAUCGACCCCACUGCUACUGGUCCUUGAAGGCGCUUACACCCGGAGUACCCCUGUUCCUCCGUUCAUUCCUCAGUAGCUGGCAGGAGGUGGGAGAAAGGGCGCGCAUAAACCUCUGAGAAAUCAGUGUCGCAACAGAGGAUCUGCCGAAUCAGGUAUCAUCUGGAAAUUUCUUCCUCAGCGGUAACACCUUGCGUGCCAAGGAAUCGUACAGAGCGACUAGCACUCCUCCUCCUCCUCCAUCCCACUCACAGCCGCUGUGCUGAUCUGGCUGUUUGUCAUCUGUCGUGUUGACGCAGUGCUGGGACAAACUAGCAGCAUGGGAACUUCUGCCACCUGGUCUGGUCAGCCGAGAAAGUUUAUAUCCUCUUUACAGGAGACUGACAUAAACUGAAAUUUGAUGACCACGGGAGCGGGAGAAAAAAAGGUUUCUGUUGGUAGCCCUGGUCUGGAAGUGGGCAAUUAUCAAAUGGAGACCAAUUCGAUAAAGCCUCAAUUUAAGAAAGUACUUGAAUAUGUAGUUUCCUCUAAUCACGUCUCUGCGAUGUUUCUUGUCUGGCAAAGCAUGUAAAUACAGGCAGCCUCCAGCAUGUGCUGAGGUACUCUGAGGUAGCAACCUCAACUGUGUAAAAAAAUAGUUGCUGUACUGUAGAGGAAAAUGACGACAUAAAGCAUUUCUCCAGGGCUGCCUGGCACUAAUGACUUUAAUACAGUGAGUUGAACAAACUUAUGUGGCAGCAGUGACUGUGAAGGAGGACUUUUAACUUGCCUACAAUAACUACCUUGCUAGGAGCUGAGCGUUUCAGUCAGCGUGAUGAAUAGUGAACAGGAGCCGUGGGAAGGCCAGCGCACGGAGGCAGCGCAGCGGGCGGCUCUGGAUGGGGCAGGGUGCAGGACACAGCCGCACGGGAGCAUCUCUGGCAGCAGUACAGUGAUGCGGUGAAGCACGGGCUUAAUUCCUGAAGCUUGCAGCAAAAAGCUUGGCUGCACGGGGAAGGAUCUGCCAAAUCAGGAGCUGGAACGCAGAAGUAAUACAGAUAAAGGCACUGCAACAGAGGGGAACAGAGGGGUGGAUGGCCAGAAGCUGGGAACGUGGGCUUUGAGGCACCCAGAGGAUGCCCUGCGGUCAGAGGGAUCUGAUGGCUCCUUCCAGACAGCUGUGUAGUGGCAUUGCACAUAACGGAGAGAUCUCCGCUACAGACCGGAGCCAGCUCUGCAGGUGUCGGUGAGCAGCUAGAAACAGAGAACCAAGUCCAAUAUUGGACUUGACACAUAAGACUAUGGCUGGUUCCAAAAGACUCAAAGUGUUAUUUCUUGGAGAUCUCAAGCAAAACAGAGCUGGAGUAUCUGUUGGUUUAAACAAACUUCGGCCAAAGGAAGGCUGCAAUACACCACAAACACGAAAGCGCUAGACUGUCCUUUGCUGUGAACAACCUUUCAUACUAGAAAACGCUUUUCUAAUACCACUGUUUUUCUGACUGGGUCUGAUGAUGGCACUCAUUAUUUUCUUCACAGUUCACAGAGAGGGCCAUCAAAAAAUAGCCAACUUUUCCUUCCUCUCUGUUUAAAGUCUCCAUAACCUUGGUGUGAAUUUAUAGUCUGUCGUUGUCUUUUGAGAUGCCAUAUGUGCAAGAGAAUAAGAGGGAGGGAGACAUUUUGUUUCUGAAAAUGAUGCUAUGCUUAGCACUGUUACAGUAUUGUGGACAAUGUAUAUCAUUUAAAGUAGCAAGAAGAGGUGUGAGGUGAAAGAAGACCUUGUGGCAAGCAUAAAUGUCUCUUGUCCUUGGGGGAAAAAAAAACCAAAACCAGAUCAACCCCCCACCCUCCACUAAUUAAUGUACUAUAAUCCAUUCCAAGAGGAAGAAAGUUCUGAAUUGUUUUUUAAUUAUUUCCCAUAGAUAAAUCUUCUCUGACAGGAAAGAUUCAGCAGUACCCAGUGAAGGGCAACUAUUUCUAAGGGUAUGAAUUCAUUGCAAGCUUCUAUUCAGCCUGAGGGUGACAUCCUAGCCAGGAGAUUUAUGGAGAAGCUACCAUCACACCUGAAUUUUUUGAGUCCCUUUACUUUGGUUGACCCUAAUGAUUUGGUGUCACCUUGUGGACUUUGCUAGUCCUAUCUUCUCUCACUCAGAAAAUGAAGUCCGAAAGAACAUGCAAACACCUCUGCCUCUGCUUUUGCUGUUCCUCUGACUAUAAACUGUUGCUGUUGUUGUCAUUAUUAUGAUGAUUAUUAUUAUUUUUACUAGUAGUAGUAUUAAAAUAGAAACCCCUUAGAAGCUCCUGGACUAGAACUCCACCGAACAAACACAGAAAAAAAAAAAGCAAGUUUCUUGACCUGUAAAGUUUAGGAUUUAUUUGCUGGCAUCAUUUGGACAAAUGACCCAUGGCAAAGUGGCUUAGCCUUCACAGCCACUGAAGCUGGAUUGCACCUCUGAGAUCCACUGCCUUACGCCUGCAAAUUGUAUCACCGCGUAGGCAGUGUCUGGCUGUGAGUGCCUGGGGGGGUGUACGCUGGUGACGUGCCUCCUACCCUCCCAAUCUCUUCAAGUAGAAUCAGCGGUGAUGGUGGCACAUGCUGAUGACUAUACGCCAGGCUGCGUUGGUGCCAGAAGAGUCUUCAGCCUUUAGCCAAACUCACUUAUUCGUUAUUGUCCUAUUAGGAAAAGGCUGAGGGCCAUGUGGAGACACCUGGAAAGCUAAAUCUGGGUUGUGAUGGGAGGAACUAAGAUAUGUUGAACACUGCUGGUUCAGGCAGUCAAGCAAGCUGUUUUGAUUGUACCCAGGUCCUGAACCACAGGAUACAUGCUGCUUCUGUUGCUCCUUGAUCCAGGACCUCUGAACUGAUUCAAAGCUGCAUUUGUGUGUCCGUGGGACUCAUGGUCAAGUCACAGAUCUCUGCCGUGUGACAGGGUAGAUGAGCUCUGACUCUGUACUGUGAGGAUGCCAUCGGUUCUGGGUUAGCUUAUUUGUUUUCUAUCUGUCCCACUCACCAUACAGCAUACAGGUACAUGAUUAGGUGAUCAGACCUGCAGUGUAGAGUGAAAAUGGAUGAAAAAAAAUAAAACCGAAACCAAACCAAGAAAACCAUGACAUGAUGAUAAGUGUCUAAUGGAAAAUAAUAAUAAUCAGUAAGGGUAGGAAUAAUAUUUAGUUCCUCUCAUAAUUUCCUGAAACGUUCUCAACCAUCAACAUGCUGGCAAUGCUUUACCUUGGUAUUAGCAUCACCGGCUAAAUGCAGCCAUGAAAAAACAUGUUUUUCCAAGAAUCUGAAUGCUGGUAUAAAUGGUCAAGUUACUAUGACUCUUCUUUAGAGU